ensembl:ncRNA C35B8.6 ncRNA
AGAAGAGACGCAGAAAGAUUACAGAUAGGAGGAUCCCAAUACAGAGGUGCGUCGCAAUGUCAUAGCGGUAAAACACACGCUGCCGC